UGCAGAUGAAGGACGCAACUU
rnacentral:misc_RNA from 1 species